rnacentral:rRNA from 1 species
UACGAAGGGGGCUAGCGUUGCUUGGAAUCACUGGGCGUAAAGGGUGCGUAGGCGGGUCUUUAAGUCAGGGGUGAAAUCCUGGAGCUCAACUCCAGAACUGCCUUUGAUACUGAAGAUCUUGAGUUCGGGAGAGGUGAGUGGAACUGCGAGUGUAGAGGUGAAAUUCGUAGAUAUUCGCAAGAACACCAGUGGCGAAGGCGGCUCACUGGCCCGAUACUGACGCUGAUGCACGAAAGCGUGGGGAGCAAACAGG